rnacentral:rRNA from 1 species
GACGAACGCUGGCGGCGUGCCUAAUACAUGCAAGUAGGACGCAGUUGCGAACGGGUGAGUAACGCGUAGGUAACUACCUAUUAGAGGGGGAUAACUAUUGGAAACGAUAGCUAAUACCGCAUACUAGUAGAUGGACCUGCGUUGUAUUAGCUAGUAGGUAGGGUAAUGGCCUAACUAGGCAACGAUACAUAGACGACCUGAGGGGGUGAUCGGCCAACCUGGGACUGAGAAACGGCCCAGACUCCUACGGGAGGCAGCAGUAGGGAAUCUUCGGCAAUGGGGGGAACGCUGACCGAGCAACGCCGCGUGAGUGAAGGAGGUUUUCGGGUCGUAAAGCUCUGUUGUUAAGGAAGCGGUACUUAACCAGAAAGGGACGGCUAACUACGUGCCAGCAGCCGCGGUAAUUC